UACGUAGGGUGCAAGCGUUGUCCGGAAUUAUUGGGCGUAAAGAGCUCGUAGGCGGUCUGUCGCGUCGAAUGUGAAAACCCGGGGCUCAACCCCGGGCCUGCAUUCGAUACGGGCAGGCUAGAGUUCGGUAGGGGAGUCUGGAAUUCCUGGUGUAGCGGUGAAAUGCGCAGAUAUCAGGAGGAACACCGGUGGCGAAGGCGGGACUCUGGGCCGAUACUGACGCUGAGGAGCGAAAGCGUGGGGAGCGAACAGG
rnacentral:rRNA from 1 species